UCGAGAAUUUUUCACAAUGGGGGAAACCCUGAUGGAGCGACGCCGCGUGGGGGAUGAAUGGCUUCGGCCCGUAAACCCCUGUCAUUUGCGAACAAACCUCGCUAUUUAAAAGAUGGCGAGUUGAUUGUAGCGAAAGAGGAAGGGACGGCUAACUCUGUGCCAGCAGCCGCGGUAAUACAGAGGUCCCAAGCGUUGUUCGGAUUCACUGGGCGUAAAGGGUGCGUAGGUGGUCGGCUAAGUCCGGUGUGAAAUCUCGGAGCUCAACUCCGAAACUGCAUUGGAUACUAUUCGGCUAGAGGGUUGGAAGGGGGACUGGAAUUCUCGGUGUAGCAGUGAAAUGCGUAGAUAUCGAGAGGAACACCAGUGGCGAAGGCGAGUCCCUGGACAACUCCUGACACUGAAGCACGAAAGCUAGGGGAGCAAACAGG
rnacentral:rRNA from 1 species